rnacentral:rRNA from 1 species
CCCUUAGAUGCUCUGGGCCGCACGCGCGCUACACUGAUGCAUUCAACGAGUUUCUUCCUGGUCCGAGAGGAAUGGGUAACCUUUUGAAAGUGCAUCGUGAUAGGGAUAGACUAUUGCAAUUAUUGGUCUUCAACAAGGAAUUCCUAGUAGACGUAGUUCAUCAGACUGCAUCGAUUACGUCCCUGCCCUUUGUACACACCGCCCGUCGCUCCUACCGAUUGAAUGCUCAGGUGAGCCAUUCGGACUUUCAUCAUGCUGGUUUCCAGUUUUGAUGAAGGAAAGUCUUGCGAACCUUAUCAUUUAGAGGAAGGAGAAGUCGUAACA